CCUACGGGGUGCUGCAGUGGGGAAUAUUGGACAAUGGGCGAAAGCCUGAUCCAGCCAUGCCGCGUGUGUGAAGAAGGCCUUCGGGUUGUAAAGCACUUUCAGUGGGGAAGAAAGCCUUGGGGCUAAUACCCUCGAGGAAGGACAUCACCCACAGAAGAAGCACCGGCUAACUCCGUGCCAGCAGCCGCGGUAACACGGAGGGUGCGAGCGUUAAUCGGAAUUACUGGGCGUAAAGCGCGCGUAGGCGGUCUGAUAAGCCGGUUGUGAAAGCCCCGGGCUCAACCUGGGAACGGCAUCCGGAACUGUCAGGCUAGAGUGCAGGAGAGGAAGGUAGAAUUCCCGGUGUAGCGGUGAAAUGCGUAGAGAUCGGGAGGAAUACCAGUGGCGAAGGCGGCCUUCUGGACUGACACUGACGCUGAGGUGCGAAAGCGUGGGUAGCAAACAGGAUUAGAUACCCUGGUAGUC
rnacentral:rRNA from 1 species